UCUUCCUGUCUCCCUCCUCCCGUCCCCUGGCGGGAUAGGUGCGUGGUCCAGGACAAGAGAGGGGAGGCCACCCGCGUGAGACCUGGUAGCACCCCCUCCCCCAACUGAGCUCAACAGUCCAAGGAAACUGGAAAAUUCCAAUUAAAAAAGUGCUGUCCCCUCAUCUCCACAGAAAGUGUUCUUGCCUGCCACGCACAUAAUGCAUAAGAUUUGCACUAAAGGGUCAGCGAGCCCAGGGACCAAAGCUCCUCCUCCGACUGGGAGUCACGCGGAUGCAAGGACCCACUCCCGAGGAUGCUCAGCCCACACUGACAGUCUCACCGGGAUCCAGGCCUCCAGGCGUGGAGACAAGGGGCCGAAAGGAGAGCAGAGAAGAAAUGGAGACGCAGAGAUGGAGAGCGGACUGGUGUCCACAGCAGGGGAAGGAGGCGGGGGAUGACUGAGAGGCCAGCAUGGACACACACAUGCCGCAUGUGACAGAGCCAGUGGGAAGCCGCCCUGCAGCUCAGGAACUCAGCUCCUGCCCUGAUGACCCCGAGGGGUGGGAUGGGGGUGGGGGAGGCUCAAGAGGGAGGGGUAUCUGUAUAAUUGUGACUGACUCCAGUCCAUGUACAGCAGAGGCCUCCACAGCAUUGUAAAGCAAUUGUCCUCCAAUUAAAAAAAAAAAGUGCAGGUGGACUGAGGAUGCCCCUGGGAUGCUGGGUUGCCUUGGCCGCUGUAGGAAGGGCGGGAGCAGCUAGUUCUGUAGGUGGUUUAGUCCACUGUUGUGCUCAGCCGCUAACUUGUGUACGACUCUUUGCAACCCCGUGGACUGUAGCCCACCAGGCUCCUCUGUCCAUGUGAUUCUCCAGGCAAGAACACUGGAGUGGGUUCCCCUUUCCUCCUCCAUGGGAUCCUCCCGACCCAGGGAUCAAACCCCAACCUCCUGGGUCUCCUGCACUGGCAGGUGGGUUUUUACCACUAGCACCACCUGGGAAGCCCUAGUCUGCUGUUAGGUCUUUCCAAUUAUUGAUACUGAGAGCUGAAAGCAUUUCUAGUUUCCACAGCAAGAAAUGAACACACAAGUGGACUCGAGCAGAAGAGAUGGCUCUGCAGACGAAGGAAGCAGCCACCACAGUAGCGCAGGGGACGGGGGUCC